UACGGAGGGUGCAAGCGUUAUCCGGAUUCACUGGGGUUAAAGGGUGCGUAGGAGGGCAGGUAAGUCAGUGGUGAAAUCCCCGAGCUUAACUUGGGAACUGCCGUUGAUACUAUCUGUCUUGAAUACCGUGGAGGUGAGCGGAAUAUGUCAUGUAGCGGUGAAAUGCUUAGAUAUGACAUAGAACACCAAUUGCGAAGGCAGCUCGCUACACGAAUAUUGACUCUGAGGCACGAAAGCGUGGGGAUCAAACAGG
rnacentral:rRNA from 1 species